rnacentral:rRNA from 1 species
GAUGAACGCUAGCGGCAGGCCUAAUACAUGCAAGUCGAGGGGUAGUGGAAGCUUGCUUCCAUGAGACCGGCGCACGGGUGCGUAACGCGUAUGCCAACCUACCUUCAUCUGGGGGAUAGCCCGGAGAAAUCCGGAUUAACACCGCAUAAAAUCACAGUACGGCAUCGUACAAUGAUCAAAGUAUUUAUAGGGAUGGGAGA